rnacentral:rRNA from 1 species
CCUACGGGAGUCAGCAGUGAGGAAUAUUGGUCAAUGGGCUAGAGCCUGAACCAGCCAAGUCGCGUGAGGGAUUACUGCCCUAUGGGUUGUAAACCUCUUUUGUCGGGGAGCAACAGCCGGCCGUGUCCCGCUGUGAGCGUAACCCAAGAAAAAGCAUUGGCCAAAACCGUGCCAGCAGCCGCGGUAAUACGGAGGAUGCGAGCGUUAUCCGGAUUCAGUGGGUUUAAAGGGUGCGCAGUGGGAAUUGGAAUUCAGCGGUAAAAUUGUGGGGCUAAAACCCAUCCAGCCGUUGAAACUGAGGCUCUUGAGUGUGCGAGAGGUAUGCGGAAUGCGUGGUGUAGCGGUGAAAUGCAUAGAUAUCACGCAGAACCCCGAUUGCGAAGGCAGCAUACCGGUGCACAACUGACGCUCAGGCACGAAAGCGUGGGUAUCGAACAGGAUUAGAUACCCUAGUAGUC